UUAAGCUGACGAGUGGCGAACGGGUGAGUAAUGUAUCGGAACGUGCCCAGUCGUGGGGGAUAACUGCUCGAAAGAGCAGCUAAUACCGCAUACGACCUGAGGGUGAAAGCGGGGGAUCGCAAGACCUCGCGCGAUUGGAGCGGCCGAUAUCAGAUUAGGUAGUUGGUGAGGUAAAGGCUCACCAAGCCGACGAUCUGUAGCUGGUCUGAGAGGACGACCAGCCACACUGGGACUGAGACACGGCCCAGACUCCUACGGGAGGCAGCAGUGGGGAAUUUUGGACAAUGGGCGCAAGCCUGAUCCAGCCAUGCCGCGUGCGGGAAGAAGGCCUUCGGGUUGUAAACCGCUUUUGUCAGGGAAGAAAAGGUUCUGGCUAAUACCUGGGACUCAUGACGGUACCUGAAGAAUAAGCACCGGCUAACUACGUGCCAGCAGCCGCGGUAAUACGUAGGGUGCAAGCGUUAAUCGGAAUUACUGGGCGUAAAGCGUGCGCAGGCGGUUAUGCAAGACAGAGGUGAAAUCCCCGGGCUCAACCUGGGAACUGCCUUUGUGACUGCAUGGCUAGAGUACGGUAGAGGGGGAUGGAAUUCCGCGUGUAGCAGUGAAAUGCGUAGAUAUGCGGAGGAACACCGAUGGCGAAGGCAAUCCCCUGGACCUGUACUGACGCUCAUGCACGAAAGCGUGGGGAGCAAACAGGAUUAGAUACCCUG
rnacentral:rRNA from 1 species